CAAUAAUAAAUGAAUAACCGUCCCCGUUUUCCCCCUCUAUAAGAAGGCCGGUUUGGCGUUGGGAAAAAAGCAUUAGCGUUCCAAGAAAGCAAGAGACAAAACAGACCAAGUAGAAAUCUUUUUGUGGGUUUUCUGUGAUUCCAAGAGUGGAGUAAACAAUGGCAGCAGAAGAGGGACAAGUGAUCGGUUGCCACAGCGUUGAUCAAUGGAAUGAGCAUUUCACCAAGGGCGUUGAAUCCAAGAAGCUGGUUGUGGUGGAUUUUACAGCUUCAUGGUGUGGACCUUGCCGUUUCAUUGCUCCAAUUCUAGCAGAGUUUGCCAAGAAGCUUCCCCAUGUCAUCUUUCUCAAAGUAGAUGUGGAUGAACUGAAGACUGUUGCUGAGAAAUAUGAAGUGGAGGCAAUGCGACUUUCAUCUUCUUCAGGAUGGAAACAUUGUGGAGAAAUUUGUCGGUGCAAAGAAAGAUGAACUUCUGCAAGUUAUUACCAAGCAUGCUACUGCUGCUGAUACUGCUACUCCUGCUGCUGCUGCUACUGCUACUACUGCUUCUGUUUCAGUUUGAUUCACCAUGGAAACAAACUUUUUAAUAAGGAACUUUAUCCGUCAGUGAUUGUCGUAGCAAGGAUGUUAUAAAUUUCUAGAUGUAGUGGAUGUGAUUGUGUGUUUACUUUUCCAUGGUUUUCAUCCAGUGUCUGCUAGAUUUUACUUUUCUAUAAAUAAUCAAAUUCCUCGUUUAUC